UCGAAAAGCGACUGGACUACUUCGUUUGCAAACCGCCAAAUAAAAACCACAGAAGAAGAAGAAGAAGGAGGAAGAGGAGGAGGGUAACGGAGUUGUUACAGAGAGUGCUGUGCAUAGCUUAGUUUGACCAGUCUUGCCUGAACUAAAAAGCAAACGACAAAUCCUUGGACUCGUUUUUCACUCUUUGUCUCGGUUUUAUAACAUCUUUUGGACGCAGCUGCAGCGAGUCUUCUUGAGGAGAGAGAAAUCAAUGUUCUAUGAAACUCCUCCUACAGCAGUCACAUCGACAGUGAAGCUCCUCCCACAAUAAUCACAUCAUCAGUGAAGCUCCUCCCCAACAAAUCACACAAUCAGUGAAGCACCUCCCACAAUAAUCACAUUAUCCGUGAAGCUCCUCCCACACAAUCACAUCAACAGCGAAGCUCCUCCCACAACAAUC